AUUGAACGCUGGCGGCAGGCCUAACACAUGCCAGUCGAGCGGAUGAAGGGAGCUUGCUCCUGGAUUCAGCGGCGGACGGGUGAGUAAUGCCUAGGAAUCUGCCUGGUAGUGGGGGAUAACGUCCGGAAACGGGCGCUAAUACCGCAUACGUCCUGAGGGAGAAAGUGGGGGAUCUUCGGACCUCACGCUAUCAGAUGAGCCUAGGUCGGAUUAGCUAGUUGGUGGGGUAAAGGCCUACCAAGGCGACGAUCCGCAACUGGUCUGAGAGGAUGAUCAGUCACACUGGAACUGAGACACGGUCCAGACUCCUACGGGAGGCAGCAGUGGGGAAUAUUGGACAAUGGGCGAAAGCCUGAUCCAGCCAUGCCGCGUGUGUGAAGAAGGUCUUCGGAUUGUAAAGCACUUUAAGUUGGGAGGAAGGGCAGUAAGUUAAUACCUUGCUGUUUUGACGUUACCAACAGAAUAAGCACCGGCUAACUUCGUG
rnacentral:rRNA from 1 species